rnacentral:rRNA from 1 species
UACAGAGGUGCCGAGCGUUAGGCGGAAUCACUGGGCUUAAAGCGUGUGUAGGCGGAUGCCUAAGUACCUUGUGAAAUCCCACGGCUUAACCGUGGAACUGCUUGGUAUACGUGGGUGUCUUGAGCCACUUAGGGGCUACCGGGAACAAAUGGUGGAGCGGUGAAAAUGCGUAGAUAUCGAGAGGAACACCAGUGGCGAAGGCGGGUCUCUGGACAGUUCUGACGCUGAGGCACGAAGGCCAGGGGAGGCAAACGGG